rnacentral:misc_RNA from 1 species
CGCACAUUGCACUCCUUGGUAUUCCGGGGAGUAUGCCUGUUCGAGCGUCAUUUCACCUCUCAAGCAUCAGCUUGGUCUUGGACCAUUAUCGCUGAAAGGCGGUAUGUCCGAAAACGAGUGGCAGUUUGUUGAACUUCAGCGCAGUGAAAAUAUACGUCAUGAAGCUUCUUCAAACUUGCCAGAAAACCAUAUCAAAAUCUUGACCUCGGAUCAGGUAGGGAUACCCGCUGAACUUAA